AUACGGAGGGUGCAAGCGUUAAUCGGAAUUACUGGGCGUAAAGCGUACGUAGGCGGUUCGGUAAGUUAGAUGUGAAAGCCCCGGGCUUAACCUGGGAACUGCAUUUAAAACUGGCGAACUAGAGUUGAGUAGAGGGGAGUGGAAUUUCAGGUGUAGCGGUGAAAUGCGUAGAGAUCUGAAGGAAUACCAGUGGCGAAGGCGACUCCCUGGACUCGAACUGACGCUGAGGUACGAAAGCGUGGGUAGCAAACGGGAUUAGAAACCCGAGUAGUCC
rnacentral:rRNA from 1 species